rnacentral:lncRNA from 1 species
CAACAUGAACUUUCAUUGACUUACAAGUCGAAGACUUGCCGAAAAUCAACGAUGACUUCCCACCAUCAGCAGUGACUGUCCAUGACCUGAGAUGAUGCAGGCAUCACCUCGGUGACAAGCCGACCCUGAUCUGUCAGCUCAUCGGUCUACAUAGAUAGUCAGUUGAAAUCUCCCAACAAACUCCCAGAACAUGGCUAUAUGAGCAUAACAAAUACCCACAACU